rnacentral:rRNA from 1 species
GCCAGACUCCUACGGGAGGCAGCAGUGAGGAAUAUUGGUCAAUGGCCGUAAGGCUGAACCAGCCAAGUAGCGUGAGGGAAGACUGCCCUAUGGGUUGUAAACCUCUUUUGUCAGGGAGCAAAGGGCGCCACGUGUGGCGUUUUGCGAGUACCUGAAGAAAAAGCAUCGGCUAACUCCGUGCCAGCAGCCGCGGUAAUACGGAGGAUGCGAGCGUUAUCCGGAUUUAUUGGGUUUAAAGGGUGCGCAGGCGGAAUGUCAAGUCAGCGGUAAAAUUUCGGGGCUCAACCCCGUCGUGCCGUUGAAACUGGCGUUCUUGAGUGAGCGAGAAGUAUGCGGAAUGCGUGGUGUAGCGGUGAAAUGCAUAGAUAUCACGCAGAACUCCGAUUGCGAAGGCAGCAUACCGGCGCUCAACUGACGCUCAUGCACGAAAGCGUGGGUAUCGAACAGGAUUAGAUACCCGUGUACUG